rnacentral:lncRNA from 1 species
CUUACCUUUAAGAGUAUCAUGAUCUAUUUCAAGAUUUUUCAAAUCACUUCACCCAAACCUGCCUAGUGAUAGGAAUAUUUUUAGUCAUUUAUAUCAUUAACUUGGUCACUGACUCACCUAAUUAGUGAGAAAGUCAAUCAUACAAACAAACUCUUGAUUCUUAUUUCUAUUGAAGUUCUUGUUCUAUUUAAGUUCAGGAGUUUAUAAAUCCUAGGUCUUAUAUGUCUUAACUCACCACAAUGAAAACACGUAGGGAUAAACCUAAGAUCAUAGUUAUGAGAUCUCUGAUUUCUAUUCUUAGAUUGGCGGGUCCUAUGCUAUCUAGUAGGCCUCUAUCCUACAAAUUCCUUUUUCUUAGGAUCAGGGUUAGGCACAUGUUUAUGCUAGUCAGUAAGAGGGACAGAUGUUGUCAUGGACAUACUAGCAAUAUUAUGAUAUUUCUUCUUAUAUCCUAGACCGCCCUUAUCACCAACAGGCGACAACCAUUCCUAGAAGUUAGAAACGAAAAGAAGUUGGGACUUCGAAAACUCAAUUUUGCUCAGAAGAUUCUUAACCUGAAUUUCUAAAGUUUCGUUUUCAAUUGUUAGCUCACUAGGUCUCCUAGGGAUCUUCUCAAGCUCACUCGUGAAAUCCUUAACCUGAGUAUCUCUAAAGAUUCGUUCAUGGAUUUCAACUCACUCGGGGUUGAGAUAGAUUGUUGAAGGCAAGCUAAUAAUUUAUCUUUCUCCAACUCGAGUUCUUUAACCUUCGCACCUAAGACUUUAUUUGUAGUUAGAAUCUUAAUGCCAUCCUCAUAGGUUCUAUCAUAAGCUUCAUGAAUAUCUCCCUCAGCGUCAGAAUCUUCCUCUGAUUCUUCAGCACUAUCGAUGUCCUGAGUCGUAUUGCUCCACUUAUCAGAUCCACUUCUCAUCCUAACUCCUCUUCAUUAGGAGAAUUUGAAUUUGAUGACUCUCUACAACUAUUACUCAUAAUGCUUAAGGUGCACGACUUAUCGUUUGUAGGUUUAGCUAAUGUUAGUUCAUAAGUUUGGAAAGAUCCAACCACCUUAAUAGAGUCCAUAUCCUUACUUUCUUCAAAACCAUGAUUUUAGGCCUAAAUCAUUCAGAUAAGGAUCUAAAGAUUUUUCUGACGAUUAUAGGCUUCGAGAUUCUCGCACCUAGGUUGAAGCUAGAAUUAACUAUGUCAUUUAGGCUCGUAUAGAAUUCAUCAAUUGUCUCGUCCUCUUUCAUCAUAAUCUCUUCAAACCUAAUGAUCAGCAUCUACAAUUUAGAGUUCUUAAUAGCUUGAGUUCUCUUAUAUGUGGCCUAUAAAAUAUUCCAAACCUCUUUAGCUACCUCAUACAUGGACACUCGCCUAAACCUCUUUUGCUCCAAUUUGAAUAGGAGUGGAGAUUACUACAUUAUCAAUCGUAACUCUAGGGGCAGCCCAACAAUUAAUAACACUCAACCAAAUGCGUUCAUCCAUAGAUUUUAAAAAGGAACUCAUUCUAACCUUCCAGUAGGCAUAAUUGCUAACAUCAAAAUAUGGUGGGAUAGAUAGUAAACUACUCAUCCAGAAAUUUAAGGUCAAGAAUCGAAUUUAGGCUCUGAAACAAACUGAAAGUUCUAAUUAGCUGAUUUAAUUUGACCUUAUGUGUAGAAUCAACACAAUCAAGAGCAAUAAGUCACUUUUUAAUUGUUUAUGAAUGGUUAAUCAAACUGUUCAAUUAUUUUAAGUUGAA